rnacentral:tRNA from 1 species
AGAAAUAUGUCUGAUACAAGAGUUACAUUGAUAGAAUAAAUAAUAGAGGUUUAAAUCCUCUUAUUUCUA